rnacentral:rRNA from 1 species
UUAGAGGAAGUAAAAGUCGUAACAAGGUCUCCGUUGGUGAACCAGCGGAGGGAUCAUUACUGAGUUGUAAAACUCCAAACCCAUGUGAACAUACUUCGUGUUGCCUCGGCGGCGAGCGUAGUGCUCGGGAGGUAUCUACCCGGUACCUACCCUAGAGCUACCCUGUAGCUACCUACCCGGUAGCUGCGCGGUACCUACCCUGUAGGACUGGCGUAUCCGCCGAAGGACCACCAAAACUCUUGUUUCUGUGUGGCACGUCUGAGUAAUUAUAUUUAAUAAGUCAAAACUUUCAACAACGGAUCUCUUGGUUCUGGCAUCGAUGAAGAACGCAGCGAAAUGCGAUAAGUAAUGUGAAUUGCAGAAUUCAGUGAAUCAUCGAAUCUUUGAACGCACAUUGCGCCCAUUAGUAUUCUAGUGGGCAUGCCUGUUCGAGCGUCAUUAAGUCCAUUAAGCCUAGUUGCUUAGCGUUGGGAGCAUUACCGCACGGUAACUCCUUAAAGUCAGUGGCAGGGUUACGGUAUGCUCUAGGCGUAGUAGAUUUAUUUCUCGCCUUUGUAGUUAUCGCGGCCGUCGCCAUAAACCUAUAUUUCUUAAUNGGUGACCUNG